rnacentral:rRNA from 1 species
CUGAUCCAGCCAUGCCGCGUGAGUGAUGAAGGUCUUCGGAUCGUAAAGCUCUGUGGGAAGGGACGAAAAGCCUAACCUAAUACGUUAGGUCUUGACGGUACCUUCUUAGCAAGCACCGGCUAACUCCGUGCCAGCAGCCGCGGUAAUACGGAGGGUGCAAACGUUGCUCGGAAUUAUUGGGCGUAAAGCGCACGUAGGCGGUCCGCUAAGUCGGAUGUGAAAGCCCUCGGCUUAACCGAGGAAGUGCAUCCGAAACUGACGGGCUAGAGUACGGAAGAGGGUUUCGGAAUUCCCGGUGUAGAGGUGAAAUUCGUAGAUAUCGGGAGGAACACCAGUGGCGAAGGCGGAAACCUGGGCCGAUACUGACGCUGAGGUGCGAAAAGCGUGGGGAGCAAAACAGGAUUAGAUACCCUGGUAGUCCACG